UGGGGAAUUUUCCGCAAUGGGCGAAAGCCUGACGGAGCAAGACCGCGUGGGGGAAGAAGGUUUGUGGAUUGUAAACCCCUUUUGAUUGGGAAGAUGAUGACGGUACCAAUCGAAUCAGCCUCGGCUAACUCCGUGCCAGCAGCCGCGGUAAUACGGAGGAGGCAAGCGUUAUCCGGAAUUAUUGGGCGUAAAGCGUCCGUAGGUGGAUAUUCGUGUCAGUUGUUAAAGGAUGCGGCUUAACCGCAUAAAAGGCGAUUGAAACUGGAUGUCUAGAGUGCGAUAGGGGCAAGGGGAAUUCCCAGUGUAGCGGUGAAAUGCGUAGAUAUUGGGAAGAACACCGGUGGCGAAAGCGCCUUGCUGGGUCUGCACUGACACUGAGGGACGAAAGCUAGGGGAGCGAAAGGGAUUAGAUACCCCUGUAGUCCUAGCUGUAAACGAUGGGUACUAGGCGUUGUCCGUAUCGACCGGGCAGUGCCGUAGCUAACGCGUUAAGUACCCCGCCUGGGGAGUACGCUCGCAAGG
rnacentral:rRNA from 1 species